rnacentral:tRNA from 1 species
GGGGAUAUAGCUCAGUUGGUAGGGUGCUUGCCUCACAUGCACAAGGCCCUGGGUUCAAUCCCCAGCACCACCA